GCGGGCGUCGUAUAAUGGCUAUUAUGCAACCUUGCCAUGGUUGAUAUGUGGGUUCGAUUCCCAUCGCCCGCUCAA
rnacentral:tRNA from 5 species